UACGAAGGGGGCUAGCGUUGUUCGGAUUCAUUGGGCGUAAAGGGUGCGUAGGCGGCGCGGUAAGUCGGGUGUGAAAUCUUGGAGCUUAACUCCGAAACUGCAUUCGAUACUGCCGUGCUUGAGGACUGGAGAGGAGACUGGAAUUUACGGUGUAGCGGUGAAAUGCGUAGAUAUCGUAAGGAAGACCAGUGGCGAAGGCGGGUCUCUGGACAGUUCCUGACGCUGAGGCACGAAGGUCAGGGGAGCAAACAGG
rnacentral:rRNA from 1 species